GUGCUUGCUUCGACAGCACAUAUCCUAAAAUUGGAACGAUACAGAAAAGAUUAGCAUGGCCCUUGCGCAAGGAUGACACGCAAAUUUGUGAAGCAUUCCAUAUUGAA
rnacentral:snRNA from 1 species